rnacentral:rRNA from 1 species
UACGUAGGGUGCAAGCGUUGUCCGGAAUUAUUGGGCGUAAAGGGCUCGUAGGCGGUUUGUCGCGUCGGGAGUGAAAACACUGGGCUUAACCGAGUGCUUGCUUUCGAUACGGGCAGACUUGAGGCAUUGAGGGGAGAACGGAAUUCCUGGUGUAGCGGUGAAAUGCGCAGAUAUCAGGAGGAACACCGGUGGCGAAGGCGGCUCUCUGGCAAUGUUCUGACGCUGAGGAGCGAAAGUGUGGGGAGCAAACA